GAUGAACGCUGGCGGCGUGCUUAACACAUGCAAGUCGAACGGUGAAGGCGGAGCUUUCUCUGCUGGAUCAGUGGCGAACGGGUGAGUAACACGUGAGCAAUCUGCCCCUGACUCUGUGAUAAGCGCUGGAAACGGCGUCUAAUACUGGAUACGAGCUGCGAAGGCAUCUUCAGCAGCUGUAAAGAAGUUCGGUCAGGGAUGAUCUCGCGGCCUAUCAGCUUGUUGGUGAGGUAAUGGCUCACCAAGGCUUCGACGGGUAGCCGGCCUGAGAGGGUGACCGGCCACACUGGGACUGAGACACGGACCAGACUCCUACGGGAGGCAGAAGUGGGGAAUAUUGCACAAUGGGCGAAAGCCUGAUGCAGCAACGCCGCGUGAGGGACGACGGCCUUCGGGUUGUAAACCUCUUUUAGCAGGGAAGAAGCGAAAGUGACGGUACCUGCAGAAAAAGCGCCGGCUAACUACGUG
rnacentral:rRNA from 1 species